UACAUCACGCUCUCCUUCU
rnacentral:snRNA from 1 species